rnacentral:lncRNA from 1 species
AUGACACUGAAGUGGCGUAUCUUUUGCUACCAUGAGGACUGCCCCACGCAGAAGUGCUUCUGAGAUAACAGCCUCAAGAGCAGCAGGUUUUGGACAAGGGUCAUGAUUAUCUUUUAUCUGACAGGUAAGUCGGAUGCUUCGAAUCUUCCAGGAAGGGGAUGGGCAUUGAAAAUAGAAGUCAGGCAUUAACACAAGUUGGGAAAAGGACUUCAAGAUACUUAGAGACUUAGAAGACAAUAGGGCAGCAGGGUCUCUAGCUACAAGACAACAACAGUUCCCUAGCUGUCACCCGAGCCUGCAAAAGGUCCUCCAUUGGCACACUGACCAGAUACUACACAAUGAUUCUAAAAGAGGUUUGAGAACACCCAGAGAGGCUCGACCCUGUCUUUUAGAAAGGAAAUUGUCCCUUCAAUUUCCUCCUUUGGAGAUCAUGGGCACUUACAGCAACAGCCAAGCUGCAGGAACCGUGAAAGUCAGCAGCAUGACAAGAGCUCCCCAAAAGCUACGCUGGUUAGACAAGCCAAGGAAAGAGUGGAAGAUGCACCAAGCAGAGUACAGAACACACAGUAGGCUCCCUUCAUUGAAAUAAAGAAGACAGGGACCAUUUUUGAGAAAAAGGAGAAGAUGGCAAGGAAAAACUCUCUCUUUCCCCUAGGAGCUCUGAAGAAGAAAGGGCUUGGAGAGAGGAAGACCCAGCUGAGAUCCCUCUGAAACUGUGAUAUACGACAUCACUGCCUCAGGACCUGUCCAACUGUCAGACAGCAGGAAGCUGCCCCACUCGUGAACAUCUAUUCGACUCUCCAAGUCCGGGGAGUCUACCUGGCACACAGGAGGCGUGACUCACAUGUGGCUAUGGCAGAUCUCCUCCCUCCUCCCAAGGCUUACCAGGCAACCUUGGCCUAAAGCACAGAAUGUUCUCGGUAAACAUAAAGGACCCUAAAAAUAUUAACAGUGAUUGUUAUUGUUGUUAUUAAAUCUACAGUUUGGAGCAGUAACCACAAAAUUGGUGACUUCCACAAGUCCAAUUAUGACCACUACAAAGUGGACAAAAUAAAACUUUUCUCCUAGGAAUCUUAA